UUUUUCCACCUGUAGGUGUUGAGCUGAAAGUUAUCUUAAAGGCACAUCCUAAAGCCAAGUUUUUUAGAAAGGCAAACUUCCCUACUUUUGAUUGGCUAGCCAUAUUAAUAGAAGAUUAUGAUGGAGAUGAGCAUCCUAACAUCUUUUCCAUAUGGAUUGGUAUCGAGAUUGAAAAAGAGAAGAAAGAAAGAGAAAAGAAGAAAGAAGAGAGAAGAAAAGAUGAUGGAAGAAAGGAAUAGGUUAGGGUUUCACGUCCCCAUCCUCCUUUUCUCUUUUAUUAAAGUAAUAUAAAGCAAAUAUGACAAAAAUACCCUUGUACAAUAAACUUUAUGUUUAGCAUAUCCCAAGUGUAAAAACACUAAGAAACUUGUGGACUAUAGACCCAUAAUCAAAACCAAGAGGGCCAUGGGCCCAUACUCAA